GUACACUCCUGCGGGAGGCAGCAGUGGGGAAUUUUGGACAAUGGGCGAAAGCCUGAUCCAGCAAUGCCGCGUGAGUGAAGAAGGCCUUCGGGUUGUAAAGCUCUUUUGUCAGGGAAGAAACGGUGAGAGCUAAUAUCUCUUGCUAAUGACGGUACCUGAAGAAUAAGCACCGGCUAACUACGUGCCAGCAGCCGCGGUAAUACGUAGGGUGCAAGCGUUAAUCGGAAUUACUGGGCGUAAAGCGUGCGCAGGCGGUUUUGUAAGUCUGAUGUGAAAUCCCCGGGCUCAACCUGGGAAUUGCAUUGGAGACUGCAAGGCUAGAAUCUGGCAGAGGGGGGUAGAAUUCCACGUGUAGCAGUGAAAUGCGUAGAUAUGUGGAGGAACACCGAUGGCGAAGGCAGCCCCCUGGGUCAAGAUUGACGCUCAUGCACGAAAGCGUGGGGAGCAAACAGGAUUAGAAACCCCAGUAGUCCCAUGAU
rnacentral:rRNA from 1 species